rnacentral:rRNA from 1 species
UACAGAGGGUGCAAGCGUUAAUCGGAAUUACUGGGCGUAAAGCGUGCGUAGGUGGUUUACUAAGUCAGGUGUGAAAUCCCCGGGCUCAACCUGGGAACUGCGCUUGAUACUGGUAAACUAGAGUUUAGUAGAGGGAAGUGGAAUUCCACGUGUAGCGGUGAAAUGCGUAGAUAUGUGGAGGAACACCGAUGGCGAAGGCAGGUUCUUGGACAGAAGGUGACGCUGAGGCGCGAAAGUGUGGGGAGCAAACCGG